UUUACGACACUCGGCAACGGAUAUCUUGGCUCUCGCAUCGAUGAAGAACGUAGCGAAAUGCGAUACUUGGUGUGAAUUGCAGAAUCUCGUGAACCAUCGAGUCUUUGAACGCAAGUUGCGCCCGAGGCCACCACGGCUGAGGGCACGCCUGCCUGGGCGUCA
rnacentral:rRNA from 1 species